rnacentral:rRNA from 1 species
UACGGAGGUGGCAAGCGUUGCUCGGAAUCACUGGGCGUAAAGGGCGCGUAGGCGGGGAGGUAAGUCGGGUGUGAAAUCCCUCGGCCCAACCGAGGAACUGCGCCCGAGACUGCUUCUCUUGAGUCCCGGAGAGGAAGGUGGAAUUCCCGGUGUAGCGGUGAAAUGCGUAGAUAUCUGGAGGAACACCGGUGGCGAAGGCGGCAUCCUGGACCGACACUGACGCUGAGGAGCGAAAGCCAGGGGAGCAAACGGG